rnacentral:piRNA from 1 species
UGCCAUGUGACGAGCUGCUGUUCCAAAGG